GGGCCUGUAGCUCAACGGUUAGAGCAGGGGACUCAUAAUCCCUUGGCUGCAGGUUCGAAUCCUGCCGGGCCCACCA
rnacentral:tRNA from 1 species